AUGGUUCGAGAGGAGGUAGCAGGAUCCACUCAAACACUACAGUGGAAGUGUGUUGAAUCAAGAGUGGAUAGUAAGCGCCUUUAUUAUGGUCGUUUCAUUCUGUCCCCGCUUAGAAAAGGUCAAGCGGACACCGUCGGUAUUGCCUUGCGAAGAGCUUUACUUGGAGAAAUAGAAGGAACAUGUAUCACACGUGCAAAAUUUGGGAGCGUGCCGCACGAGUAUUCUACAAUAGCAGGUAUUGAAGAAUCCGUACAAGAAAUUUUACUAAAUUUGAAAGAAAUUGUAUUGAGAAGUAAUCUCUAUGGAGUUAGAGACGCAUCCAUUUGCGUCAAAGGUCCUAGAUACAUAACUGCUCAAGAUAUCAUCUUACCGCCUUCCGUAGAAAUCGUUGAUACGGCACAACCUAUAGCUAACUUGACAGAGCCCAUUGAUUUCUGUAUUGAUUUACAGAUCAAGAGAGAUCGUGGAUAUCAGACAGAACUCAGAAAGAACUAUCAAGAUGGAAGUUAUCCUAUAGAUGCUGUAUCCAUGCCUGUUCAAAAUGUGAAUUAUAGUAUUUUUUCUUGUGGGAAUGAAAAUGAAAAACACGAGAUACUUUUUCUAGAAAUAUGGACUAAUGGAAGUUUAACCCCUAAGGAAGCACUUUAUGAGGCUUCUCGUAAUUUGAUUGAUUUAUUUCUUCCUUUUCUACACGCGGAGGAAGAGGGCGCUAGUUUCGAAGAAAAUAAAAACAGGUUUACUCCACCCCUUUUUACUUUUCAAAAAAGAUUAACUAAUCUAAAGAAAAACAAAAAAGGAAUUCCAUUGAAUUGUAUUUUUAUUGAUCAAUUAGAAUUGACUUCUAGAACGUAUAAUUGUCUAAAAAGGGCCAAUAUACAUACACUAUUGGACCUUUUGAGUAAGACUGAAGAAGAUCUUCUGAGAAUUGACAGUUUUCGUAUGGAAGAUAGAAAACAUAUAUGGGACACUCUAGAGAAGCAUCUCCCAAUUGAUUUACUUAAGAAUAAACUCUCGUUUUAA
rnacentral:rRNA from 1 species